CCUAUAUUCUCACCUAAAAUCUCCUGGACUAAAACCCUGGAAGAAAAAAACAUUUUCCCUCCUCAUUCGUCUCUCUUGCAUAUCUCCGUUUUAAAGUGCACAGCGCAACCGCACGCUGCCGGGGCACUUCCAUUACCAUGAACAUCUCAACUCUAAGGUUCGACUCCAAUCCAAUCACCACGGUGACAGCGACGGCAACGUUGAAUCACCGGAAUGGGAUCCUCGGUUACAAUGGGACCUAUAGUUGUAGGCUCAAUCAGUUCCAGCAGAGGAAGAAGACUCCUUCAAUUAUCGUUUGUUCGACAAAGCCGCUUGCCUCGGUAGUGUACCAUCAGGGGGUCAGCGAGUCAGGGCUGAGUCGAAUUGAGUCACUUAGGUAUCCGGCGUGUUGGGUUGCCAAUGGGGCGACGAAGGAAAGGGAAAGCUCGUUGAUAUACUGGCUAAGCAUUUUGAUAUUGUUGCUCGUUGUCAGGGUGGAGCCAAUGCUGGGCACACUAUUUACAAUUCUGAGGGGAAGAAGUUUACUCUGCACCUUGUCCCUUCUGGAAUUCUCAACGAGGAAACUCUAUGUGUUAUUGGUAAUGGAGUUGUGGUGCAUCUACCAGGACUCUUUAAAGAAAUUGAUGGUCUCGAAUCUAACGGAGUCUCUUGCCAAGGAAGGAUCUUGAUAUCUGAUCGUGCUCACUUGUUAUUUGAUUUUCACCAAGAAGUAGAUGGGCUUAGAGAAGCUGAGCUAGCUAAAUCCUUUAUUGGAACCACCAAGAGAGGCAUUGGACCUUGCUGUUCAAGCAAGGUUAUUCAAAAUGGCAUAAGAGUAAGUGAUUUAUGGCAUAUGGACACAUUCCCCCAAAAGCUUGAUCUUUUAUUAUCAGAUGCCGCUGCAAGAUUUCAAGGUUUUAAGUAUGACCCUGACAUGCUCAAGGGAGAAGUGGAACGCUAUAAGAAAUUUGCUGAGAGGUUGAAAUCCUUCGUUACAGAUACUGUGCACUUCAUGAAUGAUGCUAUAUCUCAGAAAAAGAAGAUUUUGGUGGAAGGUGGUCAGGCAACAAUGUUGGAUAUUGAUUUUGGAACAUACCCUUUUGUGACUUCAUCCAGUCCAUCGGCUGGUGGAAUCUGCACAGGUCUUGGCAUUGCUCCCAGAGUUGUUGGUGAUCUUGUUGGUAUGGUAAUUAAGGCAUAUACCACAAGAGUUGGUUCUGGUCCUUUCCCAACAGAAAUCAUGGGCAAAGGUGGUGACCUUCUUCGUUUUGCUGGGCAGGAGUUUGGCACAACUACUGGACGCCCGCGUCGUUGUGGUUGGCUAGACAUAGUUGCACUGAGUUACUGCUGUCAAAUAAAUGGAUUUGCUUCUCUAAACCUAACAAAACUAGAUGUGCUGUCAGACCUAUCAGAAAUUCAGUUGGGUGUUACUUAUAGGCAUCCUGAUGGUUCACCAUUAAAUUCUUUUCCUUCUGAUCUUCGUCUUCUUGAGCAAAUAAAGGUGGAGUAUGAAGUUUUGCCUGGGUGGCAGAGUGAUAUUUCUUCCAUCAGGAAGUAUACUGACUUGCCUAAGGCUGCACGCGAGUAUGUAGAAAGGAUAGAGGAGCUUGUUGGGGUACCUAUCCAUUACAUUGGUAUAGGACCUGGUUGUGAUGCCCUUAUCUACAAGUGAUUUUUGAUUUUUUUCAUCAUAUUGCCAGAAUCAUAUUCUUCAAAUUGCUGGUAAACCUUAGACUAAGCUUGUAAUAGCAUCAUGAGUUAUCAAUUUGAUGUAAUUGCUUAAUGUAAAAAUUAAGUAUUUGUCGUCUUUAAAGCUAGAUAUCAUCCCCCUUCUCUUUCUUUUCCUUUCGGGAUUUUG